rnacentral:snRNA from 1 species
UAACUCUGGUUUCCCUUCAAAACGCAUAAAAUCUUUCGCCUUUACUAAAGAUUUCCGUGGAGGGGAACAACUCAAUGAGUCUUUCUCAAUUUUUCUAUAGCCACUUCGGUGGGUU